AGUGAACGCUGGCGGUAGGCCUAACACAUGCAAGUCGAACGGCAGCACAGUAAGAGCUUGCUCUUACGGGUGGCGAGUGGCGGACGGGUGAGGAAUACAUCGGAAUCUACUUUUUCGUGGGGGAUAACGUAGGGAAACUUACGCUAAUACCGCAUACGACCUACGGGUGAAAGCAGGGGAUCUUCGGACCUUGCGCGAUUGAAUGAGCCGAUGUCGGAUUAGCUAGUUGGCGGUGUAAAGGCCCACCAAGGCGACGAUCCGUAGCUGGUCUGAGAGGAUGAUCAGCCACACUGGAACUGAGACACGGUCCAGACUCCUACGGGAGGCAGCAGUGGGGAAUAUUGGACAAUGGGCGCAAGCCUGAUCCAGCCAUACCGCGUGGGUGAAGAAGGCCUUCGGGUUGUAAAGCCCUUUUGUUGGGAAAGAAAAGCAGCAGGUUAAUACCCCGCUGUUCUGACGGUACCCAAAGAAUAAGUACCGGCUAACUUCGUG
rnacentral:rRNA from 1 species